rnacentral:lncRNA from 1 species
GAUGAGCGCCGGUGAGCUGGAGAGCGGGAACGCGGGAGAGCCGGCGAAGCUGAUCAGGCAGCGCUACAGGGAGGCGGCCGACAUCAUCAAGAAGGGGAAGAUGUGCUGCCUCUUCAUCAACGACCUCGACGCCGGGGCCGGCCGGAUGGGCGGCACCACCCAGUACACGGUCAACAACCAGAUGGUGAACGCCACGCUCAUGAACAUCGCCGACAACCCCACCAACGUGCAGCUUCCCGGGAUGUACAACAAGCAGGAGAACCCCCGCGUGCCCAUCAUCGUCACCGGAAACGACUUCUCCACCCUCUACGCGCCGCUCAUCCGUGACGGUCGUAUGGAGAAGUUCUACUGGGCACCCACCCGCGACGACCGUGUCGGUGUGUGCAAGGGUAUCUUCCGUACCGACGGCGUCUCCGACGAGUGCGUCACCAAACUCGUCGACACCUUCCCCGGCCAGUCCAUCGGUA